UCAUGGCUCAGGAUGAACGCUAGCUACAGGCUUAACACAUGCAAGUCGAGGGGCAGCAUGAUCAAAGCUUGCUUGGUGAUGGCGACCGGCGCACGGGUGAGUAACGCGUAUCCAACCUUCCCCUUAGUAGGGCAUAGCCCGUAGAAAUGCGGAUUAAUACCCUAUGUUGUUCGUAGAGGACAUCUGAAAUGAACCAAAGGUUUACCGCUAAGGGAUGGGGAUGCGUCUGAUUAGGUAGUCGGCGGGGUAACGGCCCACCGAGCCUUCGAUCAGUAGGGGUUCUGAGAGGAAGGUCCCCCACAUUGGAACUGAGACACGGUCCAAACUCCUACGGGAGGCAGCAGUGAGGAAUAUUGGUCAAUGGACGAGAGUCUGAACCAGCCAAGUAGCCGUGCAGGGUGACGGCCCUAUGGGUUGUAAACUGCUUUUAUACAGGGAUAAAGUUGGGAACGUGUUCCCUUUUGCAGGUACUGUAUGAAUAAGGACCGGCUAAUUCCGUGCCAGCAGCUGC
rnacentral:rRNA from 1 species